GACGAACGCUGGCGGCGUGCUUAACACAUGCAAGUCGAACGGAAAGGCCCUGCUUUUGUGGGGUGCUCGAGUGGCGAACGGGUGAGUAACACGUGAGUAACCUGCCCUUGACUUUGGGAUAACUUCAGGAAACUGGGGCUAAUACCGGAUAGGAGCUCCUGCUGAAUGGUGGGGGUUGGAAAGUUUCGGCGGUUGGGGAUGGACUCGCGGCUUAUCAGCUUGUUGGUGGGGGAGUGGCUUACCAAGGCUUUGACGGGUAGCCGGCCUGAGAGGGUGAACGGCCACAUUGGGACUGAGAUACGGCCCAGACUCCUACGGGGGGCAGCAGUGGGGAAUAUUGCACAGUGGGCGGAAGCCUGAUGCAGCAACGCCGCGUGCGGGAUGACGGCCUUCGGGUUGUAAACCGCUUUCGCCUGUGACGAAGCGUGAGUGACGGUAAUGGGUAAAGAAGCACCGGCUAACUACGUG
rnacentral:rRNA from 1 species